rnacentral:rRNA from 1 species
UACGUAGGGGGCAAGCGUUGUCCGGAUUUAUUGGGCGUAAAGCGCGUGUAGGCGGCUUUGCAAGUCGGGUGUGAAAGCCCUCAGCUCAACUGAGGAAGUGCGCCCGAAACUGCAGAGCUUGAGUACCGGAGAGGAUGGCGGAAUUCCCCAAGUAGAGGUGAAAUUCGUAGAUAUGGGGAGGAACACCGGUGGCGAAGGCGGCCAUCUGGACGGAUACUGACGCUGAGACGCGAAAGCGUGGGGAGCAAACAGG